rnacentral:rRNA from 1 species
UAGGGUGCAAGCGUUGUCCGGAAUUACUGGGUGUAAAGGGAGCGCAGGCGGAGAGACAAGUUGGGAGUGAAAAGUAUGGGCUCAACCCAUACCCUGCUUUCAAAACUGUUUUUCUUGAGUGGUGUAGAGGUAGGCGGAAUUCCCGGUGUAGCGGUGGAAUGCGUAGAUAUCGGGAGGAACACCAGUGGCGAAGGCGGCCUACUGGGCACUAACUGACGCUGAGGCUCGAAAGCAUGGGUAGCA